rnacentral:rRNA from 1 species
UACGGGGGGGCAAGCGUUGUUCGGAAUUACUGGGCGUAAAGGCUCGUAGGCGGCCAACUAAGUCGGAUGUGAAAUCCCCAGGCUUAACCUGGGAACUGCAUCCGAUACUGGAUGGCUUGAAUCCGGGAGAGGGAUGCAGAAUUCCAGGUGUAGCGGUGAAAUGCGUAGAUAUCUGGAGGAAUACCGGUGGCGAAGGCGGCAUCCUGGACCGGCAUUGACGCUGAUGGAGCGAAAAGCUAGGGGAGCAAACGGG